GGGCCUUAGCUCAGCUGGGAGAGCACCUGCUUUGCAAGCAGGGGGUCGUCGGUUCGAUCCCGACAGGCUCCACCAUAUUGAGUGAAAAGACUUCGGGUCUGUAGCUCAGGUGGUUAGAGCGCACCCCUGAUAAGGGUGAGGUCGGUAGUUCGAGUCUACCCAGACCCACCACUCUGAAUGUAGUGCACACUUAAGAAUUUAUAUGGAUCAGCGUUGAGGCUGAUACAUGUUCUUUUAUAACUUGUGACGUAGCGAGCGUUUGAGAUAUCUAUCUAAACGUGUCGUUGAGGCUAAGGCGGGGACUUCGAGUCCCUAAAUAAUUGAGUCGUAUGUUCGCGUUGGUGGCUUUGUACCCCACACAACACGGCAUAUAGCUCCGAGGCAACUUGGGGUUAUA
rnacentral:tRNA from 1 species